AGAGUUUGAUCCUGGCUCAGAUUGAACGCUGGCGGAACGCUUUACACAUGCAAGUCGAACGGUAACGCGGAGAGAAGCUUGCUUCUCUCCGGCGACGAGUGGCGAACGGGUGAGUAAUACAUCGGAACGUGUCCGCUCGUGGGGGACAACCAGCCGAAAGGUUGGCUAAUACCGCAUGAGUUCUACGGAAGAAAGAGGGGGACCCGCAAGGGCCUCUCGCGAGCGGAGCGGCCGAUGACUGAUUAGCCGGUUGGUGAGGUAACGGCUCACCAAAGCAACGAUCAGUAGCUGGUCUGAGAGGACGACCAGCCACACUGGGACUGAGACACGGCCCAGACUCCUACGGGAGGCAGCAGUGGGGAAUUUUGGACAAUGGGCGCAAGCCUGAUCCAGCUAUUCCGCGUGUGGGAUGAAGGCCCUCGGGUUGUAAACCACUUUUGUAGAGAACGAAAAGACACCUUCGAAUAAAGGGUGUUGCUGACGGUACUCUAAGAAUAAGCACCGGCUAACUACGUGCCAGCAGCCGCGGUAAUACGUAGGGUGCGAGCGUUAAUCGGAAUUACUGGGCGUAAAGGGUGCGCAGGCGGUUGAGUAAGACAGAUGUGAAAUCCCCGAGCUUAACUCGGGAAUGGCAUAUGUGACUGCUCGACUAGAGUGUGUCAGAGGGAGGUGGAAUUCCACGUGUAGCAGUGAAAUGCGUAGAUAUGUGGAAGAACACCGAUGGCGAAGGCAGCCUCCUGGGACAUAACUGACGCUCAGGCACGAAAGCGUGGGGAGCAAACAGGAUUAGAUACCCUGGUAGUCCACGCCCU
rnacentral:rRNA from 2 species